AGGGAUCAUUGCAAGUGACCCCGGUCUAACCACCGGGAUGUUCAUAACCCUUUGUUGUCCGACUCUGUUGCCUCCGGGGCGACCCUGCCUUCGGGCGGGGGCUCCGGGUGGACACUUCAAACUCUUGCGUAACUUUGCAGUCUGAGUAAACUUAAUUAAUAAAUUAAAACUUUUAACAACGGAUCUCUUGGUUCUGGCAUCGAUGAAGAACGCAGCGAAAUGCGAUAAGUAAUGUGAAUUGCAGAAUUCAGUGAAUCAUCGAAUCUUUGAACGCACAUUGCGCCCCCUGGUAUUCCGGGGGGCAUGCCUGUUCGAGCGUCAUUUCACCACUCAAGCCUCGCUUGGUAUUGGGCAACGCGGUCCGCCGCGUGCCUCAAAUCGACCGGCUGGGUCUUCUGUCCCCUAAGCGUUGUGGAAACUAUUCGCUAAAGGGUGUUCGGGAGGCUACGCCGUAAAACAACCCCAUUUCUAAGGUUGACCUCGGAUCAGGUAGGGAUACCCGCUGAACUUAAGCAUAUCAAUAAGCGGAGGAAAAGAAACCAACAGGGAUUGCUCUAGUAACGGCGAGUGAAGCAGCAAUAGCUCAAAUUUGAAAUCUGGCGUCUUCGACGUCCGAGUUGUAAUUUGUAGAGGAUGCUUCUGAGUGGCCACCGACCUAAGUUCCUUGGAACAGGACGUCAUAGAGGGUGAGAAUCCCGUAUGCGGUCGGAAAGGCGCUCUAUACGUAGCUCCUUCGACGAGUCGAGUUGUUUGGGAAUGCAGCUCUAAAUGGGAGGUAAAUUUCUUCUAAAGCUAAAUAUUGGCCAGAGACCGAUAGCGCACAAGUAGAGUGAUCGAAAGAUGAAAAGCACUUUGGAAAGAGAGUUAAAAAGCACGUGAAAUUGUUAAAAGGGAAGGGAUUGCAACCAGACUUGCUCGCGGUGUUCCGCCGGUCUUCUGACCAGUCUACUCGCCGCGUUGCAGGCCAGCAUCGUCUGGUGCCGCUGGAUAAGACUUGAGGAAUGUAGCUCCCUCGGGAGUGUUAUAGCCUCUUGUGAUGCAGCGAGCGCCGGGCGAGGUCCGCGCUUCGGCUAGGAUGCUGGCGUAAUGGUCGUAAUCCGCC
rnacentral:rRNA from 1 species